AUGUACACUCCUACAACAUAGAAUUAAUGCACCAUAUCCUAUUAGAACUCUUCAUUUAAACAUGCUCAGGCUAGAGUAGUACUGGGAUGGGUGACCGCUUAGGAAGUAUUAGUGUUUUACAUG
rfam:Picea glauca, whole genome shotgun sequence.